UUAUUGCUUCUUUUCGGUAACCUGCAAGGGGUUGUUUGAGUAGUGAAUACUCUUUGUCUUUACUAACCCUACAAAUUCUCUUCCGGCAAGUUUCAGGUUCCUCCGGAUCGCUCCGACGCCUUUGAUGUUCACAUCUUCUGGACGAGAGUCAUCUGUGACAGGAUAAUGGAAGAUCUAGUUAUCAAAGGCUUAUUCGGGCGUUUUUUUUCAUGUCCAGUUCGUAGCAAAAUCUCCAACUUUUGCAGAGUAGCACAGGAUGCCAGAUUCACUCACUGCUUCACUAUGAUCUAUGUUUACCAUGGAUAACGAAAUUAUCAGAUGUAUUAGAAUCUUUAUCUCCAAAAAGAAGAGGAGGUUAUAAAAUCAAAAUAUCUUGCCUUCCAUCCGGAUCCAGCUUGCGCUCCUCACGGGUAACUCUAUCCACUAAUCUUAUAGCUCAUGGUUCUCAACCUACUUCAAUCCUUAAGCCAUACCCUUGGGUACCCUUCCAUACCCUUUUUCACGAGCCAAUGCAUCCUAUCCAGCUGCUGCUAGCAACGCAUGUCAUUUUGGCCGAGUGUGAAGUUAAUUAUCCAUCAUUUGGUAUUCAAAAUUUAGCGAGAGCUUGACAGUUCUCUUCUGUACUAUUUUCAUUGCACCAAGGGUAUGCUAGCUUCUCUCUUUAAGUCCAGGUUUUUUCUUCCUUUGUGGUGUGAUUUAUCAUAUUCUACUUGUUUUUGAUGGCCAGUAAAGCCUCGAGUCAUAAUGCUUGCUGUGAGUACUUUCGUACGAAAUGUUAAUAUUUAGUUAGGUAGGUAAGUUAGCUUAGUCCAUCAUAUUGACUUUGGAAAUCCAUAAAUCCCAAUCCUUUAUCAUAUCUUAUACCCUAAACCCAACAAUAAUUCUUCUAUGAUGACAAGUUAACUAAGUAUAAUUUUUACUUUAUACUAGAAUGUUAGGUUAUUAGAAGUUACAUUUUGAAAAUUAGCAACUGUUAUGAUAUUUGUCUUCUUAUCAUCAAUGGAUAGUCUUUACUAGGUGCAACAAGAUAGAUACGGAAUACUGAUUUCUUUAGGUAGGGGAAUGUAAAGUCAGCAUUGAAAAAGAGUAACAAAAUAAAGAUCCAUCCCUCAUAUUAAGCAAAUAACCAUACAAGUCAUUUUAUAAUCCUUAUGAUCUAUUAUAAUGAAGCUCCAAAAUUGUUAGAAUAUUACAAAGGAAUUUGUGGCUCGAGAUCCAAACCCUUAACACCAAAAUAGAUUUACAUAAAUAGCAUUGAAAGACUUAGAAGUUGGAUAUUUAAUUAAUAUAGUAGCUAAGGGUAUGCAAUUGGGAUUAGAAGCCUUAAGUAAUCUUCAAAGUACAUAAAGUAAAGUUGUGAAGCAAAAUCAUCAGUUGCUUGUUUUCAUGUACUUUCAACAUAUGAACAAAUUUAACUGGAAACAAGAAAACAAGAACUAAUGACUGCUAAUACAAUAAUUCCUCUACCAAAAUGCAAUGUAGGGCCUCGCAACCUUCCCAUAUCCAAUGGCCUUCUUGUAAACUGGUUUGCGCAUCAUGCCACAUUCUGUUUGAGACUGUUGCUUUACUCCAUACUUGUUUGUCUGUUGUUCUCUCUCUAUAGGAGCAGAAUCCUUAAUUCCUCUAUCUCUACUUGUCGAUUUCCCUUCACCUUUGCUUCUACUGGACUUCUUUUUUUCAGUCUGAAUCACCUUCGACUUCUUCUGUUUCCUGAAUUUACUCUCAAUAGCAUUGGCAUCACUUUCACCCAAUUCAUUACCUAAAUAGUCUUGUUCCCUUGAUUUUCUUUUCUUUACAGAAACUUCCCUCCUGUUGUGUGCUUUUAAAUCAAUUGAAGUACCUUUAGAACCACGAUUUUGAAAGUUACUUUGGAUGAGAGAUUGGUAGAGGGCAUGUAGAGCACUUGUGGUAUCGUCCUCACUAAUGUCACAACAGUUCAUGCCAGGAAGCCAGUCUAACAUGGUGCAGACCCAACUCUGAGAAAGUUGAUUGGGUUUUGUACCAUAGGGGAGAAGCCUCCGCUUCCGACAUGUAGAACAUCGAAUCCAAUCUUCUUGUAUAAUGAAUGGAGCAAGUGGUGACUCAUCCACUGAAGUGGUCAGUUCCCGGCAGUGUGUCUUAUCAGAAGUUGUGUGUGAAUCACUACUCUUCGGGGCAUCAGUAUUACCAGAACGAAGCUUAAUCCUAAUCCUAAUGGGUUGGUGAGAAGAAAUAGGGGUAGGGGUAGGGGUAGGGGAAGGGAGUUUUUGAGAUAUCUGUGGUUGAACUACAAGUUGAUCAAUCGGCAAAAACGAACCAUAAACACCAAAUUUUGGCCCCAAUUGCUCAGCAGAAACAGUACCUUUGAAAUCUUUCGUAUAAUUGCCCAAAACAGUUUGAAGCUUAGCAUCAAUGUUUAUAUGAGAAUCGUCAUAUAUUUCUCCUCCUUCAA